rnacentral:rRNA from 1 species
AGUUCGAUCAUGGCUCAGAUUGAACGCUGGCGGGAUGUUUACACAUGCAAGUCGAACGGCAGCACGGACUUCGGUCUGGUGGCGAGUGGCGAACGGUGAGUAAUGUAUCGGAACGUGCCUAGUAGCGGGGAUAACUACGCGAAAGCGUAGCUAAUACUGCAUAUUGCCUUCGGGGGAAAGCGGGGACCCGCCUCGCACUAUUAGAGCGGUCGAUAUCGGAUUAGCUAGUUGGUGGGGUAACGGCUCUCACCAAGGCGAUUGAUCCGUAGCUGGUCGGAGAGGACGACCAGCCACACUGGACUGAGACACGGCCCAGACUCCCAUUGGAGGCAGUGGGGAAUUUUGGACAAUGGGGAAACCCUGAUCCAGCCAUCCCGCGUGUGCGAUGAAGGCCUUCGUCAGGAAGCACUUUUUGGCAGGAAGAAACGGCACGGGAUAAUACCCCGUGCAACUGACGGUACCCGCAGAAUAAGCACCGGCUAACUACGCCAGCAGCUGCGGUAAUACGUAGGGUGCAAGCGUUAAUCGGAAUUACUGGGCGUAAAGCGUGCGCAGGCGGUUCGGAAAGAAAGAUGUGAAAUCCCAGAGCUUAACUUUGGAACUGCAUUUUUAACUACCGAGCUAGAGUGUGUCAGAGGGAGGUGGAAUUCGCGUGUAGCAGGAAAUGCGUAGAUAUGCGGAGGAACACCGAUGGCGAAGGCAGCCUCCUGGGAUAACACUGACGCUCAUGCACGAAAGCGUGUAUAAAACAGGAUUAGAUACCCUGGUAGUCCACGCUCCCCAAACGAUGUCAACUAGCUGCUGGGGCCUUCGGGCCUUGGUAGCGCAGCAGCUAACGCGUGAAGUUGACCGCCUGGGGAGUACGGUCGCAAGAUUAAAACUCAAAGGAAUUGACGGGGACUCGCACAAGCGGUGGAUGAUGUGAUUCAAUUCGAUGCAACGCGAAAAACCUUACCUACCUUUUGACAUGUCUGGAAUCCCGAAGAGAUUUGGGAGUGCUGCAAGAGAACCGGAACACAGGUGCUGCAUGGCUGUCGUCAGCUCGUGUCGUGAGAUGUUGGGUUAAGUCCCGCAACGAGCUGCAACCCUUGUCAUUAGUUGCUACGAAAGGGCGCUCUAAUGAGGACUGCCGGUGACAAACCGAGGAAGGUGGGGAUGACGUCAAGUCCUCAUGGCUCCUUAUGGGUAGGGCUUCACACGUCAUACAAUGGUCGGGACAGAGGGUCGCCAACCCGCGAGGGGGAGCCAAUCCCAGAAACCCGAUCGUAGUCCGGAUCGUAGUCUGCAACUCGACUGCGUGAAGUGUCGGAAUCGCUAGUAAUCGUGGAUCAGCAUGUCGCGGUGAGGUUUAUGUUCCGGGUCUUGUACACACUGCCCGUCACACCAUGGGAGUGGGUUUUACCAGAAGUGGUUAGCCUAACCGUAAAGGAGGGCGAUUACCACGGUAGGAUUCAUGACUGGGGUGAAGUCGUAACAAGGUAG